UUUAUUGAGAGUUUGAUCCUAGCUCAGGAUGAACGCUGGCGGCGUGGAUAAGGCAUGCAAGUCGAGUGGGUUUAGGCCCACGGCAAACGGGUUAGUAAUGCAUAGGAAUUUUCCCUGAAGUCGUGAAUAAUCUGGAGAAAUCCAGGAUAAUACACGAUGUGCUCUACGGAGUAAAGAUUUAUCGCUUCAGGAGAAGCCUAUGUCCUAUCAGCUAGUUGGUAGUGUAAUGGACUACCAAGGCUAUGACGGGUAGGGGGUGUGAGAGCACGGCCCCCAACAUUGGGACUGAGAACU
rnacentral:ncRNA from 1 species